GAGCAAUCUCGUUGAGUAGUUUCGUACACAUCUAUUUGCUGCCAAUAAUCUUAGAUGGCUGAAGUAUUGGGUGAUUGAGAGGUCAUCUUAACGGAGGUCAUGAAUGAUACUUCAAUCUCAACCACGAAGUUCAUCAAGGUUUGUUUUGAGUCUAACAAAAACUUGUAAAUUCGUUUAAAUUUCAACGAUCUUUUUAUACUUGGCUGCAUCCUUGAGCAAUCUCGUUGAGUAGUUUCAUACACAUCUAUUUGCUGCCAAUAAUUACUUAGAUGACUGAGAGGUUAAGAUGAAUGAUACCUUCAAUCCCGAACACCUUUGUUGUAUCUUCCUUAUUUGAGUAGGUCUUUCGCGUGCUAUUGCAGACUUCUUGUGCUGUUUCAUAGAGAAUAAUAUCCUCUUCGACAUCAUUUUUCAUGGAACUUAUAAACUAUGUGGAGUGGAUCAUCAGAUUUUUGUUUAGCUAUUGCACCUGUGAUAUAUUUAUCUUUUUCUCAACUACAAAUGAACAUUAUAAUUGAGUGCAACCAUUGGGGAUAGUUACAGCCAUUCAGUUUGUGUCCAGUAAUGAUAAAUCCACUGGACUCAGGUCCACCAUUAGAGUUGGUAACAGAUAAGGACUAAAUAUUAGAGAUGAUUGACACUAUCGAAAAAUGAGGAAAAAGUUUUUAGUUUUCUAGAAUUGCUUUGAUACUGUGAAGAAUGAAAAUUUUAUAUUUUUCAUUAUCUUUGAUAAUGAUACAAUAAUUAUAUUUAUAAUACAAAGCUAAUUACCAUAUUUGUACAAAAGAAUCUUGCUAGUUAGUAAAAAGAUUUUUCAGAAGAAAUGGCAGACGAAACCAAAGGGAUUCUGUCAACCUUGGUGCCAAAUCUUCUAAUUAGGAAGCUAAUAUUUUUGAUAUAGCUAGAUAGCUGUAGAUACUCAAUUGCCAAUUCCUCCUUUUAUGGAUCUUGUUAUAUCUAAUUGGUUCACUAUGUCUCAGAAUCCUUGACUCUUCAAACAUUUGUAUUUCUCAUGGCAAUUUUAAUUUUGCAAGUUUUAAUUACGAAGAAGACAAGUUGCAGCUUCAAUGUUCUUUCUACUUCAACAUUUCAACCUUUGAGGUCAAGUUUUCAUUAAGUGAAGGAGAAUGAGUCGAAGAGGAAGACACUAUUCCUAUUUCGUUAUAUUAAAAUCCUUAGGUUAUUUAAGAAUUAGUAUUUAUAUGGAAUAAGUUUAUGAUUUCCUAUUUAGUUAGUAUCUUAUUUAGUUAUUUUCUUAUUUUAUAAGAUUCAUAGAUAGAAUUAAAAUUCCUAUUUUCGUUGUAAUGGCUAGCUAACCUAUAAAUAUACCAUAAUUUAAUUAUUAGGUAGAUUAUUUAUAAUUUUCAUUCAAAUAUUAAGAUAUUGUUUUGAUUAUUAAGAUUUGAGAUCUUCUAGUUUGUUUCAUAAUGAAAUCUGUCUAACUUUUGUCUUUAAGCUCUCUUUUUCCUACAUGAUCAUUCUUGCCUGAACUAUGUUGAGCAAAUGAUUAUCAAUAAUGUGAAAUUUAAUUCAAGCCUAUUGGGCAUCUGCUAUGGCAAGGUCAAGCUGAAUCCAGUAUUCUCCUGCCCAAUCUAGUGCAAAGACAGUGGAAAAGUGUGGGGGAACUUGGGCCUAGGGAGCCUGUGUAUGGGCUUAGUUGCAGCACCCGCAGGUGUCUCCCUGUUCUGCUUCGCUGGUGGGUUCAGUGGGAGCACCUGUAGGAAGAGCUUUUCUCACUCCACCCGGAGAGCUUCCCUUU
rnacentral:lncRNA from 1 species